rnacentral:piRNA from 1 species
GACACGGGCAUUGGCAUGACCAAAGC